rnacentral:lncRNA from 1 species
CGGGCGUGCUGAGCCCUCGCCCCUCCCUCGGGCAGUCACCUGGGCACCCGCGCUACAGGUGCCGGGGCCUCGAUCUUGCGGAGCCGGCGGCCAUCGAUCUUCGGGUGGCCUCGAGGCGGUGGCAGGGCCGCCUCCUGCAGUCCGGAGGCGAGCGCACGAACCCGGCCUCCGGAGGAAGGUUCAGCUGGGAGAAACCGCUCCCGCUUGGUGCUACACUUGCGCAAAAUGAUUCUGGUAAGGGGAAGCGUUGCUUAAAUCCCAGAAAUAACCCCUACCGCGAAGCAUUGCCAAAGACACAGGAACGAGUGUUUAGCUCUCAGGAUUGUUACUGCCUCGAGUGAAAUGGUUUCGUGUGUAUGAAUAUAAACAUAUAUGUAUACAUUUGACAAGCUCUUAGGCCGGCGGUUAGUUGUGGUAUCUCCAGAAGAGCGUUAUUAUAGUUAUUUGGGAAUUGUCAGUGGGGAUCAGCCUGACUGCUAUUGGAAUUGGAG